rnacentral:rRNA from 1 species
GGACGAACGCUGGCGGCGUGCCUAAUACAUGCAAGUCGAACGGUCUUUCUAUGGAAGCUUGCUUCCACUGAGAAGAUAGUGGCGGACGGGUGAGUAACACGUGGGUAACCUGCCCAUAAGAGGGGGAUAACAUCCGGAAACGGGUGCUAAUACCGCAUAGUUUUCUUGAUCGCAUGAUUGAGAAAGGAAAGACGGCCUUUGUGCUGUCGCUUAUGGAUGGACCCGCGGCGUAUUAGUUAGUUGGUGAGGUAACGGCUCACCAAGACGAUGAUACGUAGCCGACCUGAGAGGGUGAUCGGCCACAUUGGGACUGAGACACGGCCCAAACUCCUACGGGAGGCAGCAGUAGGGAAUCUUCCGCAAUGGACGAAAGUCUGACGGAGCAACGCCGCGUGAGUGAAGAAAGGUUUUCGGAUCGUAAAACUCUGUUGUCAGAGAAGAACAAGUCGGAGAGUAACUGCUCCGGCCUUGACGGUAUCUGACCAGAAAGCCACGGCUAACUACGUGCCAGCCGCAGC